UAUGCAUUAGAUGGCAGUUCAUGAACCGGGAGGAUUCUUGGGUUUCUCUAAGAAACCAUCUUAAAAGAAGUAGAACUUAAAGAAGGCUUUGAUGUAUGAAUAGUGCAUAGGGUUGUCAGAAUUUGGGGAAGUUUGAAGGGCAGCUUGAGAUUUAUAAACUGCAACUAGACCACAGUUGCACAACUGCUCUUUGAGAAAUCAGCUACUACAGCUGUAGUGAAACAGUCUCUUGCUGGGAUGUGUGCAGAGUUAAGAAUGUGUGAGGGGAAACACCAGACAGAAGAAAGGAUGCUUCUCCAAUUGUGUCACCUAAGGACAAAUGGAGGGAGGUCACCUAAGGACAGUCACUGGUCCAGGGGACUAGGAGCCACCUCCAUCAUGCACGUCCUUUGAGAUACUGAGAAUGGCCAUGGACAAGCUAUGCAGGGAUUGGCACACUCACCCUGUUGAAGGGCUGGACUUAAAAGCUAAUUCUGUGGAGUUACCUUGAGGACAAAGGCAAGGAGACUCAGGGAGUACUGAUGUCCAUCACAGUAGCAUAACAAAGACUGAUGGCAACUUCUGUGAAAUGCCAAGAACCAUAAUAUUACCCCAAGACAUCUGGUCCUCUCAUCCUUUAGUGAAGUGCAGAUGGAGACUCCUAUGUGGUCUUGAUACAAAAAGUUAAAUAACCUGAGUCAUGUUAGCAACCUCGCAAAUGAAGCAUAAACAUGACAUGACAUGGACAUAGAAAGCAUUUUCAACUAUGACACAGCCGUGCAAAACAAAAUUGCACCUUUUGAAUGACAAACGCAGCAGUUGGAAACCAUGGACUAAAGAGAUUCACUAACAGAGCGAGAGCUAAGAGACUAUUGACAUAAAGCUGCCUAGGACAAGCUCAAGGAAGUCAACAUAU